rnacentral:rRNA from 1 species
CAGUCGCCGCGGGAAAACGAAGGGGGCUAGCGUUGUUCGGAAUUACUGGGCGUAAAGGGCGCGUAGGCGGCCAUCCAAGUUAGAUGUGAAAGCCCUGGGCUCAACCUAGGAAUUGCAUUUGAUACUGUUUGGCUUGAGUUCGGGAGAGGUGAGUGGAAUUCCCAGUGUAGAGGUGAAAUUCGUAGAUAUUGGGAAGAACACCAGUGGCGGAGGCGGCUCACUGGACCGACACUGACGCUGAGGCGCGAAAGCGUGGGGAGCAAACAGGAUUAGAUACCCCCGUAGUCCCUGUCUCUUAUAC